UGCAGUCGAACGAUGAAGCCGCUUCGGUGGUGGAUUAGUGGCGAACGGGUGAGUAACACGUGGGCAAUCUGCCCUGCACUCUGGGACAAGCCCUGGAAACGGGGUCUAAUACCGGAUAUGAUCACCGGCCGCAUGGUCUGGUGAUGGAAAGCUCCGGCGGUGCAGGAUGAGCCCGCGGCCUAUCAGCUUGUUGGUGGGGUGAUGGCCUACCAAGGCGACGACGGGUAGCCGGCCUGAGAGGGCGACCGGCCACACUGGGACUGAGACACGGCCCAGACUCCUACGGGAGGCAGCAGUGGGGAAUAUUGCACAAUGGGCGCAAGCCUGAUGCAGCGACGCCGCGUGAGGGAUGACGGCCUUCGGGUUGUAAACCUCUUUCAGCAGGGAAGAAGCGCAAGUGACGGUACCUGCAGAAGAAGCACCGGCUAACUACGUGCCAGCAGCCGCGGUAAUACGUAGGGUGCGAGCGUUGUCCGGAAUUAUUGGGCGUAAAGAGCUCGUAGGCGGCCUGUCGCGUCGGAUGUGAAAGCCCGGGGCUUAACCCCGGGUCUGCAUUCGAUACGGGCAGGCUAGAGUUCGGUAGGGGAGAUCGGAAUUCCUGGUGUAGCGGUGAAAUGCGCAGAUAUCAGGAGGAACACCGGUGGCGAAGGCGGAUCUCUGGGCCGAUACUGACGCUGAGGAGCGAAAGCGUGGGGAGCGAACAGGAUUAGA
rnacentral:rRNA from 1 species